GUCUACGGCCAUGCCACCCUGAACGUGCCCAAUCCCGUCUGAUCUCAGAAGCUAAGCAGGGUCAGGCCUGGUUAGUACUUGGAUGGGAAACCAUCUAGGACUACCAGGUGGUGUAGGCA
rnacentral:rRNA from 1 species